rnacentral:rRNA from 1 species
GAUGAACGCUGGCGGCGUGCCUAAUACAUGCAAGUCGAGCGAACGGACGAGAAGCUUGCUUCUCUGAUGUUAGCGGCGGACGGGUGAGUAACACGUGGAUAACCUACCUUUAAGACUUGGAUAACUUCUGGAAUCCGGAGCUAAUACCGGAUAAUAUUUUGAACCGCAUUGUUCAAAAGUGUAAGACGGUCUUGCUGUCUCUUAUUGAUGUAUCCGCGCUGCAUUAGCUAGUUGGUAAGGUAACGGCUUACCAAGGCAACGAUGCAUAGCCGACCUGAGAGGGUGAUCGGCAACACUGGAACUGAGACAGGGACCAGACGCCUACGGGAGGCAGCAGUAGGGAAUCUUCCGCAAUGGGCGAAAGCCUGACGGAGCAACGCCGCGUGAGUGAUGAAGGUCUACGGAUCGUAAAACUCUGUUAUUAGGGAAGAACAUAUGUGUAAGUAACUGUGCACAUCUUGACGGUACCUAAUCAGAAAGCCACGGCUAACUACGUG